rnacentral:rRNA from 1 species
GAUGAACGCUGGCGGCGUGCCUAAUACAUGCAAGUCGAGCGAACGGACGAGAAGCUUGCUUCUCUGAUGUUAGCGGCGGACGGGUGAGUAACACGUGGAUAACCUACCUAUAAGACUGGGAUAACUUCGGGAAACCGGAGCUAAUACCGGAUAAUAUUUUGAACCGCAUGGUUCAAAAGUGAAAGACGGUCUUGCUGUCACUUAUAGGUGGAUCCGCGCUGCAUUAGCUAGUUGGUAAGGUAACGGCUUACCAAGGCAACGAUGCAUAGCCGACCUGAGAGGGUGAUCGGCCACACUGGAACUGAGACACGGUCCAGACUCCUACGGGAGGCAGCAGUAGGGAAUCUUCCGCAAUGGGCGAAAGCCUGACGGAGCAACGCCGCGUGAGUGAUGAAGGUCUUCGGAUCGUAAAACUCUGUUAUUAGGGAAGAACAUAUGUGUAAGUAACUGUGCACAUCUUGACGGUACCUAAUCAGAAAGCCACGGCUAACUACGUGCCAGCAGCCGCGGUAAUACGUAGGUGGCAAGCGUUAUCCGGAAUUAUUGGGCGUAAAGCGCGCGUAGGCGGUUUUUUAAGUCUGAUGUGAAAGCCCACGGCUCAACCGUGGAGGGUCAUUGGAAACUGGAAAACUUGAGUGCAGAAGAGGAGAGUGGAAUUCCAUGUGUAGCGGUGAAAUGCGCAGAGAUAUGGAGGAACACCAGUGGCGAAGGCGACUUUCUGGUCUGUAACUGACGCUGAUGUGCGAAAGCGUGGGGAUCAAACAGGAUUAGAUACCCUGGUAGUCCACGCCGUAAACGAUGAGUGCUAAGUGUUAGGGGGUUUCCGCCCCUUAGUGCUGCAGCUAACGCAUUAAGCACUCCGCCUGGGGAGUACGACCGCAAGGUUGAAACUCAAAGGAAUUGACGGGGACCCGCACAAGCGGUGGAGCAUGUGGUUUAAUUCGAAGCAACGCGAAGAACCUUACCAAAUCUUGACAUCCUUUGACAACUCUAGAGAUAGAGCCUUCCCCUUCGGGGGGCAAAGUGACAGGUGGUGCAUGGUUGUCGUCAGCUCGUGUCGUGAGAUGUUGGGUUAAGUCCCGCAACGAGCGCAACCCUUAAGCUUAGUUGCCAUCAUUAAGUUGGGCACUCUAAGUUGACUGCCGGUGACAAACCGGAGGAAGGUGGGGGUGACGUCAAAUCAUCAUGCCCCUUAUGAUUUGGGCUACACACGUGCUACAAUGGACAAUACAAAGGGCAGCGAAACCGCGAGGUCAAGCAAAUCCCAUAAAGUUGUUCUCAGUUCGGAUUGUAGUCUGCAACUCGACUACAUGAAGCUGGAAUCGCUAGUAAUCGUAGAUCAGCAUGCUACGGUGAAUACGUUCCCGGGUCU